rnacentral:rRNA from 1 species
AUUGAACGCUGGCGGCAGGCCUAACACAUGCAAGUCGAGCGGAUGACGGGAGCUUGCUCCUUGAUUCAGCGGCGGACGGGUGAGUAAUGCCUAGGAAUCUGCCUGGUAGUGGGGGACAACGUUUCGAAAGGAACGCUAAUACCGCAUACGUCCUACGGGAGAAAGCAGGGGACCUUCGGGCCUUGCGCUAUCAGAUGAGCCUAGGUCGGAUUAGCUAGUAGGUGAGGUAAUGGCUCACCUAGGCGACGAUCCGUAACUGGUCUGAGAGGAUGAUCAGUCACACUGGAACUGAGACACGGUCCAGACUCCUACGGGAGGCAGCAGUGGGGAAUAUUGGACAAUGGGCGAAAGCCUGAUCCAGCCAUGCCGCGUGUGUGAAGAAGGUCUUCGGAUUGUAAAGCACUUUAAGUUGGGAGGAAGGGUUGUACGUUAAUACCGUGCAAUUUUGACGUUACCGACAGAAUAAGCACCGGCUAACUCUGUGCCAGCCGCCGCAGUAA